rnacentral:lncRNA from 1 species
AUGGCAUCGAGUGGGACAGAACUCAGAGGCGUUCCUCUUCCAAGCCGUGACGGCAGACUUUUCAGGAGCAAAUCUGUGGAGGAUUUUGUCCUCUCCUGGGACGGUCCCUCGACCUUGAAGGCCAAGAGCUUUUCCCAGGCCAGUUUGGACUCCGGAAGAGCCGCCUCUUCGCCAAGCGUGGGGAAAUCGCUGUGCAAAGCAUCCGUCCGCGCCGACCGUCAGGGAGGCCCCGUCGAAACCGACAAGACGGGGGCCGUUCGUCCGACCAACCCAAGGAUCCAAGCUCGGAGAGGGGACCCCGGCUGUGCCCUAAGCAGCAAGAGGGGAAGACAGCCGGGAAGCCCCAUCCCCCGUCUGCGUGAGCAUGAUCUGCUCAGGAAGGAGGUACAACUCAUGCGGGGGAGAAAGGCAGUUCCUUCCAUGGUGUCGGCUUCGGUGUACCCGUCAAGAAAGGUCAAUAGCUAUGAGAAAACGGUGAGAGUUUUUGGUGACUCGGAUAACAGAAGACACAUACCUUACCAAGGACACAAGAUAUCUGGUUUCCCCUCGGUGAAGGAGCGGUCAGUUCUCUAUUUAUCCCACGCAGCUGCUAUCGCUGAUCACCCCAGUGGCCUGACGGAACUAAAUUUCGUACACAAGAUCUCUUCAAAUUCUCUUGAUAACCAGAAAGCAAACCAGGUAGGGAAUUUUAUAAAAAACAGGUAUGGUUGGCUAACAUGAUUUCUGCAGUCAAUAGAAUGGUUCGGGCUUACAAUCAAACUAACCUGGUAUAUAAAAUGCCACUAAAAUAACUAUAGCCCAAUAUGUAGGAAAUCUAUUGAUACUGGGGUGCUUUGUACUUCGCUUGUAAUAUACUGACAUCUUGUCUAAUUUUAUAUAUAUUAUUUCCCAGUAGACAAUACUAGGCAUAUUGUUUACUGGGAAAGGAUUGAGACAUUUCACUUAGCUGGACAAAACUGUCUUCUGAUCUGACGCAGGGGAUGGAUAGAGUGGAUAGAGGGAAGCUCUUUUCCCUCUCAUGCAAUACCAGAAACAGGGGAAAUCCACUCCAAUGGAGUUCUGGGAGAGUGAGAACAGAUCCAAAAAAUAUAUCUUUAUAC